rnacentral:rRNA from 1 species
UACGUAGGGGGCUAGCGUUGUCCGGAUUUAUUGGGCGUAAAGAGCGUGUAGGCGGCCAGGUAGGUCCGUUGUGAAAACUCGAGGCUCAACCUCGAGACGUCGGUGGAAACCAUCCAGCUAGAGUCCGGAAGAGGAGAGUGGAAUUCCUGGUGUAGCGGUGAAAUGCGCAGAUAUCAGGAAGAACACCCGUGGCGAAAGCGGCUCUCUGGGACGGUACUGACGCUGAGACGCGAAAGCGUGGGGAGCGAACAGG